UUUCUAUGAGGAUAAUUUGUCCAGUUCUGCUACUGAAUGCAAGUGGUGAUAAGUACGACUCUGAGAAA
ensembl:snoRNA small nucleolar RNA SNORD38